rnacentral:rRNA from 1 species
AGUCGAGCGAGCAAGUUAAAGGAAUACUUCGGUAGGAAUUUAAUAGCGCGAGCGGCGGAUGGGUGAGUAACACGUGGGCAAUCUACCCUUUAGCUUGGGAUACCACUUGGAAACAGGUGCUAAUACCAAAUAAGAAGUAAGAGCGCAUGCUCAAGCUAUGAAAGGCGGCUUUCGAGCUGUCACUAAAGGAUGAGCCCGCGGUGCAUUAGCUAGUUGGUAAGGUAACGGCUUACCAAGGCAAUGAUGCAUAGCCGAGUUGAGAGACUGAUCGGCCACAUUGGGACUGAGACACGGCCCAAACUCCUACGGGAGGCAGCAGUAGGGAAUCUUCCACAAUGGACGCAAGUCUGAUGGAGCAACGCCGCGUGAGUGAAGAAGGUUUUCGGAUCGUAAAGCUCUGUUGUUGGUGAAGAAGGACAUGGAUAGUAACUGAUCUAUGUUUGACGGUAAUCAACCAGAAAGUCACGGCUAACUACGUGCCAGCAGCCGCGGUAAUACGUAGGUGGCAAGCGUUGUCCGGAUUUAUUGGGCGUAAAGCGAACGCAGGCGGGAGAACAAGUCAGCUGUGAAAGCCCUCGGCUUAACCGAGGAACGGCAACUGAAACUGUUUUUCUUGAGUGCAGAAGAGGAGAGUGGAACUCCAUGUGUAGCGGUGAAAUGCGUAGAUAUAUGGAAGAACACCAGUGGCGAAGGCGGCUCUCUGGUCUGUAACUGACGCUGAGGUUCGAAAGCAUGGGUAGCGAACAGGAUUAGAUACCCUGGUAGUCCAUGCCGUAAACGAUGAGUGCUAAGUGUUGGGAGGUUUCCGCCUCUCAGUGCUGCAGCUAACGCAUUAAGCACUCCGCCUGGGGAGUACGGCCGCAAGGUUAAAACUCAAAGGAAUUGAC